GCGAUAAGAUUCAUGUUUUAAUGACACCAGCAUAGGCAAAUCUUGUCCAUUAGGUAGGAUUCAUGCAAGGGAAUGGUCCUGUGAUAGGAUAGUGGCAUGAAUUAGAUCACAUCCUGGUGUAGAAUACCAGACUUUCACCCCCUUCCCUGUGGGAGUUAAAGAUGUGUCACUAUAUAGGGCUAUAGGAGGUACAUGCACUGGCCAUAAAAAUAAAACACAAUUUCCCCACAAGAUGCUCUUACCUCCAGGACAUUUUAGGUACACUACUGUGAUCUUUGGGGACCACUCUGCUGUGAAUCCAGCAAUAUACAGGCCUUUUCCCCAAGGUGCCAGAAGGGCCAGCCAUCACUGGUCAAUGUGUUGAAAUGUCCAGGGCCACAUCCAUUCAACAGUGUCUCCAGGGUUUAAUGCAGUUGUGGCUGGCAGCAGGAUGUUGUUCUGCUGGCCAUAUCCUGGCUUCAGUAAUGUCUCUUUGGUUUGCAUACACAGUUGUACAGGAGAGGCAGCAAGGUGUGUUAGCAUAACCACAGGACUCAGGGCUCCUUUUCAGGGCUUCUCAUUCCAAUGCCAUAGCAUUGUCCAUAAGUGAACUGACCAGCCCCAUAGACUAUUGGUGUCUUUCUUCAGGGCAGAUUUCAACAAUCCAUUGUACCUCUCUAUCAUGCCUGCCCCGUACAGUUAUAUGGUACAUGAAACUUCCACUUUAUUCCUAAUUGCUGCACACAUUCUUGAAACGCAUGUCCAGUAAAAUGGCUGCCUUGAUCGCUCUCAGUCACCUGUGGCUGCCAUAGGCUGCAAAGAAAUGCUCUAAGCCCCUUUUGGUGGUAUGACAUGCAGGAAAAGCAACUAACAUGCCAAUAGCUGUGUCCACACAAGUUAUGGCAUACUGAUAUCCUUCUGAUACAGGUAGAGGCCGAAUAUACUCUAUCUGCCACCUGACAAGGUGUAUCGGCCCCUUUACUAUUGUCCCAUGUUGCUACAGGUCUUGUAAUUCCCUCUUAGAGCACACAAGGCACUCCUUUUGAGCUCUUCUGACUUCUUCAAAGGUCAAUGGCAAGCCCCACUGAUGGGCUACAGCACACAUUGUGUUUUGCCCCAGUGGUGUAACCAUUGGGCUACAUCAGAGGCAGGCUUUCCUUCUAGCCAGUGCACCUGGGCCAGUAUGUCUGCUUCAUCAUUCCCUGGGGAUGCCAAAGGCAAAUGGCCAGUCACAUGAUACAUGGUAACAGUCUUAGUCUGACCAGAGGCCCAUAGGUCUUGCCACAACUUUUGCCCCCAAAGGGGCUGGUGACCAGCCAUCCAGUUGGCAUGGUACUAUGUCGGUAGCAACAGGGUCAGGCCACGAUAGAUGGCCCAGCUGUCAGUGCAGACAAGUAUAGGGGAGGGCUCCUGGGUGAUCAUGAGCCAUAUGGCCCACAACUCAGCCCAUUGGCUGCUCUUCCCCUGUCCAUCCUCCAUCCACACUGUCUCAGUCUUAGGAUGGAAAACCACAGCCCUCCACUUUGGGGGCUGCCCACAACUGGAGCCGUCUAUGUACCAAGCAUCUUCACAUAUAUACUGGGACUUUUCCCUCCUGAUAAGGACUCUUGACCACCAAUGACUCAAAAGCAAGUUCUUCCUGCUUUCCACUGGUGUAUGUCACUGGCCCCAGUAAGCAUUGGAGUUCUCCACUAGGGGGCUAGUAGAGAGGGCGCUACACUGCUGUAAAUAUGCACACCAUUUGGCCAGUGUAGGGAUGUGUCACGCCACUCCGUGGCCUUUGGAUCCAGUCUCGCACCCACCCCUCAAUGGGAUGGGUGCUUAUUACCUUGAUCAGAGAGCUGUUCCGGUGAUAGGCUCUGUAGCCAGCAAGGUGUGGUACACACCAGCCAGUUGCUUUUCUGUCAAGGUGUACCGGAUCUUUGCUCCUUUCCAUAGCUGAGACCAGAAUCCAAUAGGUUGGUAUAUCCAUUCAAGCCACUGCUAAAGGCCCCAUCCAUAACCAUCUUCGGUUACAUGAACAUCUAGCUCACGGGGCCUUCAUGAGUCCAUUACACUCAAGGCCUGCACAGCCUUGACUGCUCAUUUAGCAGCAGUAAAAGCAGCUGCACAUAUGUCAUCCCAGUCCCACCUGAUGCCCUUUCAUACCAACUGGUAUAAGGCUUCAGAAUUUGUGCCAAGCAUGGAAUAAACACUCUCCAGUAGCCCAAAAGACCUAAAUACUCUUGUGAUACUGUCACAGUGGUAGGGGUGGGGAAAGCCUGGACCCUGUCUAUAACUGUUUCUGGGAUAACUUUACUUUUUCAUGACCAGACAACCCCCAAGAACAUUGCAGACAAACCAGGUCCCUGAACCUUGGUGCUGUUCCCAGCCCAUCCUGUCUCCUGUAGAUGUGGCAGCACUCUAGGAACUACCCCUUCUAAAUCUGCAAGAGAAUCAGAUGUGAGCAUGAUAACAUCAAUGUAGUGAUACAGUUGCACCACUUGUGGUUUCUUCCAUGUGGCCAAGUUAUGGGCUCCAAGACCGUGACAGAUGGUGGGACCGUGAAAGUAUCUCUGUGGAAGGACAGUGAAUGUCCAGUGCUGGCCUUCCCAUGUGAAGGCAAACUGUUCCCGACUUUCCUGUGCUAUAUCAAUAAGAGAAGAAAGCAUUAGCAAGUUCCACAACAUGAUAUGUCCCUAGUUCAUGACUGAGGGUGUCCAUAAGUGCUACUAUAGAGGGGACAGCAGCACGCAAAAGGGCAUGUGACUAUUCAAUUCUCCAUAAUCCACGGUCAUAUGCCAAGAGCCGUACGCUUUUUCACUAGCUACAGCAUGGGAUAAAAGGACUAUGAGUGGGCUUUAUGAUGCCCACAUACUCCAACUAUGUAGAGUUUCUUCAAUUGCCUUGUAUCCCCCAGACAAUUUACACUGCUUAGUAUUUGUCACCCGCCUAGUUACAUGCAGAGCUACGAAUGGAUGCUUAGCAUAUCCCCUCAGAUCAGGCCUUACCACAUGUACCCUCAGUCUGAAGUCACCUGCAGUGGUCUGUAACCACAGACCACUGCAGGAUAUCUACCCCCAAAAUAUAUUCAGGGAUGGGAGAAAUGUACACAGUAUACUCCUUUGGGGUUAAACACCUGAUCCCCAGUGGGAUUUGGGCUUUCUUCAUUCUAAUUGCCUUACCUCCAUAGCCAUCUGUCCCAGCAGGCGUCUCAAGAAAAUGCUCAGGGUUGACAUAAAUCAGAGAACACUCAGCUCCUGUGUCCACCAGUGCUAGGCUACAUUGUACAUUCACAGGGGAGCAAUGAAUUACUAAUUCUAUGUGUGGCCUCCGGUCCCCACCAUGUCCCCCAGGGUGGGGGCCUUGACCCUUCCCUCAGUCGAACCACAAUGACUAAUUAUCCUCCUGUGGCGGUGAGGGCCCAGGUGGAGCCUGAGUACUGUCCCCCAGGAAAUCUUGCAGAAAUGCAGGCUGGAUAUGGGGCUUUGCCUUUGGCUUCCGUGUCCUGGACCUCAGCGUAUGGAACUGCUGCCCUGGCUUUAAUUGGUGCCACAGUUCUAACAAGAUCCUAUUGGGCUUCCCAUGAAGUUUUUCUUUCACUACCCCGGCCUUUAUCAAAUCAACGCACAUCUGGGUCCUCAAGACCUUCACAGGGCUCUUUGCAACUCCUUUAUGGGCCCUCAUAACUCAUACUUCCUUCUCUGCUCUUAUUAUUUCAACCUCCCCCAGCUGUGCUAAAGUAUGAGUAGCCUCACUUAUGGGUUACCCUUUGUUGGGGGAAGAAUAGUCACUAGGGUCCCAAAGAGAGACGGGGGAGCUGUAUGGAUCUCCAAAUUUCUCAUUCCUACAGUGAACAAAUCUUCAUCAGGGCCCUAGGGGGUCCAUAUUAUAGGAUAUAUUUUUCAUGCAUAGCCCCCGUAGCACCUGCUGGAGCUCUGCAUAUGUUUCCCAGCUAGUGGGUAAGUUUGGUAAAUCACCCUUUUUAGGCCAAACUGCCAUGAUAGCUGCUGCCAUCCAAUCCAGAAGUGCCUGAUUCCCUGAGGUGUGAUGGGCACUUUGCAACUGCUGCCAGAGGGAAGGCUUUUACUCAGGAACUACCAGCUUUUAGCCACAGAAGAUCCCUCACCCUCACGUAACCUCCUCACCACACGCUGAGAUGGACCCCUCUCUCCGCUGGAAACUGUUCCUGGAAACAAUAGCCACAGACGCCUGGCUUCUGGCACCCGUAUCCUCUUGGCACCAUUAGAAUCAACAAGUCCUCGACCUAUGGUUACAGGGAACCUUCACUGAUUUCCAACCUGAAGAAGUCCACAUCUACUCGUCCUUACUGUGGGGAGUCCUAUCAACCCUUUCCUCCCAGUCCUCAAGCUCUCACUCCCUUCUCCGCCCCCGUUCAGCACGAAGCAGUCAGAGAGAAAGCAACGUCCACAACCCCACAGAGGAGAAAGAGGGGAAUGAAGGGCCCCCACCCAUAAGAUGGCGAACUUCCUGCUUCUCUUCUGGGUCCUCAGUUCCUGCCGGCGCCACCUGAAGCCCAAUCACCUUUCGCUCCCCUCCCAAUCCCAGCACCUAGCCAAUAGCCACCAGCCCCGUAGAAGUGACACCUCAAUCAGCUCAUGCCCCUUCCUAUAUAACCCAGCACCUUUCCCUAAUAAAGCGGAAUUCUCCAGUGAAUUGCUGCUGUGUGUCGCUCCCUUCCUUUCAGAGGGGUCACUUUUUCCAUGAACGGUUUGAUAAGUUAGGAAGCAUAAUCCAAAAUUAUUCUUAAUUUACAAAAAGACAUUACAUGAAUGUUGGGCAGUAUAGAAUGUAAUUAAUUAAAUACACAUUUGCUUUUUACAUUUUUAUAGUUUCAAGAUAACCUGAAAUUUAAUGUGUCAGUUAGUAAUAAAAUGCACGUUCUUUAAACCAAA